CGUGCCAGCAGCCGCGGUAAUACGGAGGGGGCUAGCGUUAUUCGGAAUUACUGGGCGUAAAGCGCACGUAGGCGGAUCGGAAAGUCAGAGGUGAAAUCCCAGGGCUCAACCUUGGAACUGCCUUUGAAACUCCUGGUCUUGAGGUCGAGAGAGGUGAGUGGAAUUCCGAGUGUAGAGGUGAAAUUCGUAGAUAUUCGGAGGAACACCAGUGGCGAAGGCGACUAACUGGACAAGUACUGACGCUGAGGUACGAAAGCGUGGGGAGCAAACAGGAUUAGAUACCCUGGUAGCCCACGCCGUAAACGAUGAUAACUAGAUGUUGGGGGAGUUGACC
rnacentral:rRNA from 1 species